rnacentral:rRNA from 1 species
GACGAACGCUGGCGGCGUGCUUAACACAUGCAAGUCGAACGGAAAGGCCCUGCUUUUGUGGGGUGCUCGAGUGGCGAACGGGUGUGUAACACGUGAGUAACCUGCCCUUGACUUUGGGAUAACUUCACGAAACUGGGGCUAAUACCGGAUAGGAGCUCCUGCUGCAUGGUGGGGGUUGGAAAGUUUCGGCGGUUGGGGUUUGAUGCGCCGCUUAUCAGCUUGUUGGUGGGGUAGUGGCUUACCAAGGCGUUGACGGGUAGCCGGCCUGAGAGGGUGACCGGCCACAUUGGGACUGAGAUACGGCCCAGAAUCCUACGGGAGGCAGCAGUGGGGAAUAUUGCACAAUGGGCGGAAGCCUGAUGCAGAAACGCCGCGUGCGGGAUGACGGUCUUCGGGUUGUAAACCAAUUUCGCCUGUGACGAAGCGUGAGUGACGGUAAUGGGUAAAGAAGCACCGGCUAACUACGUG